rnacentral:rRNA from 1 species
GGGUGCAGCAGGCGCGAAACCUUUGCCAUGCGCGAAAGCGUGACAGGGGAAUUCCGAGUGGUAGGGGGGUUUACCUCCCUAUCUUUUGGCCAAUCCAAACAAUUGGCAGAAUAAGAUCUGGGUAAGACCAGUGCCAGCCGCCGCGGUAAUACUGGCAGAGCAAGUGGUAUCCACGAAUAUUGGGUCUAAAGAGUCCGUAGCGGGCCUGUUAAGUCCACUGUGAAAUCUGGCGGCUCAACCGUCAGGCGUGCAGUGGAUACUGGCAGGCUUGGGAGUGGGGGAGGUCGGGAGUACUCACGGGGUAACGGUAAAAUGUUGUAAUCCUGUGAGGACUACCAGUGGCGAAGGCGCCCGACCAAAACACGUCCGACCGUGAGGGACGAAGGCUAGGAGAACGAAUCGGAUUAGAUACCCGAGUAGCCCUAGCAGUAAAUUAUGCAGACUGUGGUGUUGCGUCGACUUCGAGUCGGCGCAGUGCUGUAGCGUAGGUGUUAAGUCUGCCACCUGGGGAGUACGGCCGCAAGGUUGAAACUUAAAGGAAUUGGCGGGGGAGCAC